rnacentral:rRNA from 1 species
UGAGUAACCUGCCCUGGACUUCGGGAUAACCCUCGGAAACGGGGGCUAAUACCGGAUAUGACGGCUCACCGCAUGGUGUGGUUGUGGAAAGUUUUUCGGUCUGGGAUGGGCUCGCGGCCUAUCAGCUUGUUGGUGGGGUGAUGGCCUACCAAGGCGACGACGGGUAGCCGGCCUGAGAGGGCGACCGGCCACACUGGGACUGAGACACGGCCCAGACUCCUACGGGAGGCA